GUCCUACGGGAGCAGCAGUAGGGAAUCUUCCACAAUGGGCGAAAGCCUGAUGGAGCAACGCCGCGUGGGUGAAGAAGGUCUUCGGAUCGUAAAACCCUGUUGUUAGAGAAGAAAGUGCGUGAGAGUAACUGUUCACGUUUCGACGGUAUCUAACCAGAAAGCCACGGCUAACUACGUGCCAACAGCCGCGGUAAUACGUAGGUGGCAAGCGUUAUCCGGAUUUAUUGGGCGUAAAGGGAACGCAGGCGGUUUUUUAAGUCUGAUGUGUAAGCCUUCGGAUUAAAC
rnacentral:rRNA from 1 species